GACAGAGGGGGCAAGCGUUGCUCGGAAUCACUGGGCGUAAAGGGUGCGUAGGCCGCACGGAAAGUCAGAGGUGAAAUCCCGGAGCUCAACUUCGGAAUUGCCUCCGAUACUCCCGUGCUUGAGGACUGGAGAGGAGUCUGGAAUUCACAGUGGAGCAGUGAAAUGCGUAGAUAUUGUGAGGAACACUAGUGGCGAAGGCGAGACUCUGGACAGUUCCUGACGCUGAGGCACGAAGGCCAGGGGAGCAAACGGG
rnacentral:rRNA from 1 species